GCUAGAAAAUUGGGCAAUGGGGGAAACCCUGACCCAGUGACGCCGCGUGCAGGAAGAAGCCCUUCGGGGUGUAAACUGCUGUCGUGCGGGGCGAAGGGUCCAUAGGCGAAUAGCUUAUGGGCUUGACGGUACCGCAGGAGGAAGCCCAGGCUAACCUCGUGCCAGCAGCCGCGGUAAUACGGGGUGGGCGAGCGUUGCCCGGAAUUACUGGGUUUAAAGGGGGUGUAGGCGGUCCGGAGAGUCAGGUGUGUAAUCCAACCGCUCAACGGUUGGGCUGCACCUGAUACUUCCGGGCUAGAGGGCGGUAGAGGAGAGCGGAACUCCCGGUGUAGCGGUGAAAUGCGUAGAUAUCGGGAGGAACGUCGGUGGCGAAUGCGGCUCUCUGGGCCCGUUCCCUGACGCUGAGGCCCGAAAGCUGGGGGAGCGAAAG
rnacentral:rRNA from 1 species